CCUACGGGUGGCAGCAGUGAGGAAUAUUGGUCAAUGGACGAGAGUCUGAACCAGCCAAGUAGCGUGAAGGAUGACUGCCCUAUGGGUUGUAAACUUCUUUUAUAUGGGAAUAAAAUGUUCCACGUGUGGGAUUUUGUAUGUACCAUAUGACUAAGGAUCGGCUAACUCCGUGCCAGCAGCCGCGGUAAUACGGAGGAUCCGAGCGUUAUCCGGAUUUAUUGGGUGUAAAGGGAGCGUAGGUGGAUGGUUAAGUCAGUUGUGAAAGUUUGCGGCUCAACCGUAAAAUUGCAGUUGAAACUGGCAGUCUUGAGUACAGUAGAGGUGUGCGGAAUUCGUGGUGUAGCGGUGAAAUGCUUAGAUAUCACGAAGAACUCCGAUUGCGAAGGCAGUUCACUGGACUGCAACUGACACUGAGGCUCGAAAGUGUGGGUAUCAAACAGGAUUAGAUACCCGGGUAGUC
rnacentral:rRNA from 1 species